AAAAUCCGGGCCUCAUAUACUCUGAGACGUGAUACCGAGCCGCUUCAGGCGAAGUCAUUAAUCCUAUGCUGCCUAGAAAAGCCCAGUAGCGAGUUGACAUGGUGCCCGUACCCCAAACCAACACAGGUGGACAGGUAGAGCAUACCAAGGCGAGUGGGAUAACUAUGGUUAAGGAACUCGGCAAAUUUCCUCCGUAACUUCGGGAUAAGGAGGACCCCAGUAGCGUGACGAGACUUGCUCUCCGAGCGUGAAGGGGUGGCACAAAAUUGAGGGAAGCGACUGUUUACCAAAAACACAGCAGCGUGCUAAGCCGUAAGGCGCUGUAUACGCUGUGACUCCUGCCCGGUGCUGGAAGGUUACGGGGAUGGGUUAGUCCUUUGGGACGAAGCUCUGAACCUAAGCCCCAGUAAACGGCGGCCGUAACUAUAACGGUCCUAAGGUAGCGAAAUUCCUUGUCGGGUAAGUUCCGACCUGCACGAAUGGAGUAACGACUUCCCUACUGUCUCAACCAUAGACCCAGCGAAAUUGAAGUACGAGUAAAGAUGCUCGUUAGCUGCAGAAGGACGGAAAGACCCCGUGGACCUUUACUAUAACUUGAUGUUGUGUUUUGUCAUAUGUUGUGUAGGAUAGGUGGGAGACAAGGAAGCAUGGACGCUAGUCUGUGUGGAGUCAUCGUUGAAAUACCACCCUGCAUAUGGUGAGGCUCUAACCUAGACCCGUUAUCCGGGUUGGGGACAGCGUCAGGCGGGUAGUUUAACUGGGGCGGUUGCCUCCUAAAGAGUAACGGAGGCGCCCAAAGGUUCCCUCAGCCUGGUUGGCAAUCAGGCGUCGAGUGCAAUGGCAAAAGGGAGCUUGACUGCGAGACCUACAAGUCGAGCAGGAGCGAAAGCUGGGCAUAGUGAUCCGGCGGUUGCGUGUGGAAGCGCCGUCGCUCAACGGAUAAAAGGUACCCCGGGGAUAACAGGCUAAUCUUGCCCAAGCGUCCAUAGCGACGGCAAGGUUUGGCACCUCGAUGUCGGCUCAUCGCAUCCUGGGGCUGAAGCAGGUCCCAAGGGUUGGGCUGUUCGCCCAUUAAAGCGGUACGCGAGCUGGGUUCAGAACGUCGUGAGACAGUUCGGUCCCUAUCCUCUGUAGCCGUAGGUGAAUUGAGGAAAGCUGUCCCUAGUACGAGAGGACCGGGACGGACGCAGCUCUCGUGUGCCAGUUGUCCUGCCAAGGGCAUGGCUGGUUAGCGACCUGCGGAAAGGAUAACCGCUGAAAGCAUCUAAGCGGGAAGCCUCUUCCAAGAUGAAUUCACCCACAGGGUUAACCUGGUAAGGCCCGUGGUAGACCACCACGUUGAUAGGCCGGAAGUGUAAGCGUGGCAACACGUUCAGCUGACCGGUACUAAUCGGCCGAGGGCUUGAAUUG
rnacentral:rRNA from 1 species